rnacentral:rRNA from 1 species
GCAGCAGCCACGGUAAUACGGAGGGGGCUAGCGUUGUUCGGAAUUACUGGGCGUAAAGCGCACGUAGGCGGCUUGGUAAGUUAGAGGUGAAAGCCCGGAGCUCAACUCCGGAAUUGCCUUUAAGACUGCCGAGCUAGUAGGUGAGAGAGGUAAGUGGAAUUCCGAGUGUAGAGGUGAAAUUCGUAGAUAUUCGGAUGAACACCAGUGGCGAAGGCGGCUUACUGGCUCAUUCUAGACGCUGAGGUGCGAAAGCGUGGGGAGCAAACAGGAUUAGAUACCCCCGUAGUCCCUGUCUCUUAUAC